rfam:Segniliparus rugosus ATCC BAA-974 genomic scaffold acqcO-supercont2.1, whole genome shotgun sequence.
GCCCCCGUAGCUCAGUGGUAGAGCACUUUCUUGGUAAGAAAGAGGUCGUCGGUUCGAUUCCGCUCGGGGGCU